UACGAAGGGGGGCUAGCGUUGCUCGGAAUGACUGGGCGUAAAGGGCGCGUAGGCGGUUUGUACAGUCAGAUGUGAAAUUCCUGGGCUCAACCUGGGGGCUGCAUUUGAUACGUAUGGACUGGAGUGAGGAAGAGGGUCGUGGAAUUCCCAGUGUAGAGGUGAAAUACGUAGAUAUUGGGAAGAACACCGGUGGCGAAGGCGGCGACCUGGUCCUUUACUGACGCUGAGGCGCGAAAGCGUGGGGAGCAAACAGG
rnacentral:rRNA from 1 species